GCAGUCGAGGGGUAACAGGGUGCUUGCACCGCUGACGACCGGCGAACGGGUGCGUAACGCGUAUAGAAUCUGCCUUGUACAGGAGGAUAGCCUUUAGAAAUGAAGAUUAAUACUCCAUAAUGUUGAGAUGUGGCAUCACUUUUAAGUUAAAGAUUUAUCGGUACAAGAUGACUAUGCGUCCUAUUAGCUAGAUGGUAAGGUAACGGCUUACCAUGGCAACGAUAGGUAGGGGGUCUGAGAGGAUUAUCCCCCACACUGGUACUGAGACACGGACCAAACUCCUACGGGAGGCAGCAGUGAGGAAUAUUGGUCAAUGGAGGCAACUCUGAACCAGCCAUGCCGCGUGCAGGAAGACUGCCCUAUGGGUUGUAAACUGCUUUUAUACAGGAAGAAACAGUCGUACGAGUACGACCUUGACGGUACUGUAAGAAUAAGCACCGGCUAACUCCGUGCCAGCAGCCGCGGUAAUACGGAGGGUGCAAGCGUUAUCCGGAAUCAUUGGGUUUAAAGGGUCCGCAGGCGGUCAAUUAAGUCAGAGGUGAAAUCCCAUAGCUUAACUAUGGAACUGCCUUUGAUACUGGUUGACUUGAGUUAUACGGAAGUAGAUAGAAUAAGUAGUGUAGCGGUGAAAUGCAUAGAUAUUACUUAGAAUACCGAUUGCGAAGGCAGUCUACUACGUAUAUACUGACGCUCAUGGACGAAAGCGUGGGGAGCGAACAGGGAUUAGAUACCCUGGUAGUCCACGCCGUAAACGAUGGACACUAGUUGUUGGGCUUCGGUUC
rnacentral:rRNA from 1 species